rnacentral:rRNA from 1 species
CCUACGGGAGGCAGCAGUGGGGAAUAUUGCACAAUGGGCGAAAGCCUGAUGCAGCAACGCCGCGUGAGCGAUGAAGGCCUUCGGGUCGUAAAGCCCUGUCCUCAAGGAAGAUAAUGACGGUACUUGAGGAGGAAGCCCCGGCUAACUACGUGCCAGCAGCCGCGGUAAUACGUAGGGGGCUAGCGUUAUCCGGAAUUACUGGGCGUAAAGGGUGCGUAGGUGGGUUCUUAAGUCAGAGGUGAAAGGCUAGGGCUCAACCGUAGUAAGCCUUUGAAACUGGUGAACUUGAGUGAGGGAGAGGAGAGUGGAAUUCCUGGUGUAGCGGUGAAAUGCGUAGAUAUUAGGAGGAACACCAGUUGCGAAGGCGGCUCUCUGGACUGUAACUGACACUGAGGCACGAAAGCGUGGGGAGCAAACAGGAUUAGAUACCCGUGUAGUC